GAGUUUGAUCUGGCUCAGGAUGAACGCUGGCGGCGUGCCUAAUACAUGCAAGUCGAGCGAACGGACGAGAAGCUUGCUUCUCUGAUGUUAGCGGCGGACGGGUGAGUAACACGUGGAUAACCUACCUAUAAGACUGGGAUAACUUCGGGAAACCGGAGCUAAUACCGGAUAAUAUUUUGAACCGCAUGGUUCAAAAGUGAAAGACGGUCUUGCUGUCACUUAUAGAUGGAUCCGCGCUGCAUUAGCUAGUUGGUAAGGUAACGGCUUACCAAGGCAACGAUGCAUAGCCGACCUGAGAGGGUGAUCGGCCACACUGGAACUGAGACACGGUCCAGACUCCUACGGGAGGCAGCAGUAGGGAAUCUUCCGCAAUGGGCGAAAGCCUGACGGAGCAACGCCGCGUGAGUGAUGAAGGUCUUCGGAUCGUAAAACUCUGUUAUUAGGGAAGACAUAUGUGUAAGUAACUGUGCACAUCUUGACGGUACCUAAUCAGAAAGCCACGGCUAACUACGUCG
rnacentral:rRNA from 1 species